GGAAUAUUGCACAAUGGGGGAAACCCUGAUGCAGCGACGCCGCGUGAAGGAUGAAGUAUUUCGGUAUGUAAACUUCUAUCAGCAGGGAAGAAAAUGACGGUACCUGACUAAGAAGCCCCGGCUAACUACGUGCCAGCAGCCGCGGUAAUACGUAGGGGGCAAGCGUUAUCCGGAUUUACUGGGUGUAAAGGGAGCGUAGACGGUAUGGCAAGUCUGAUGUGAAAACCCGGGGCUCAACCCCGGGACUGCAUUGGAAACUGUCGGACUAGAGUGUCGGAGAGGCAAGUGGAAUUCCUAGUGUAGCGGUGAAAUGCGUAGAUAUUAGGAGGAACACCAGUGGCGAAGGCGGCUUGCUGGACGAUGACUGACGUUGAGGCUCGAAAGCGUGGGGAGCAAACAGGAUUAGAUAC
rnacentral:rRNA from 1 species